rnacentral:rRNA from 1 species
GUGAGGAAUAUUGCGCAAUGGAGGCAACUCUGACGCAGCCAUGCCGCGUGCAGGAAGAAGGCGCUACGCGUUGUAAACUGCUUUUAACCGGGAAGAAACCCCAGGACGUGUCCUGGGUUGACGGUACCGGAGGAAUAAGCACCGGCUAACUUCGUGCCAGCAGCCGCGGUAAUACGAAGGGUGCAAGCGUUAUCCGGAUUCAUUGGGUUUAAAGGGUGCGUAGGCGGAGCGUUAAGUCAGUGGUGAAAUCCUGCAGCUUAACUGUAGACUUGCCAUUGAUACGGGGGCGCUUGAGUGCGCUUGAAGUGGGCGGAAUGUGCCGUGUAGCGGUGAAAUGCUGAGAUAUGGCACAGAACACCAAUUGCGAAGGCAGCUCACUAAGGCGAUACUGACGCUGAGGCACGAAAGCGUGGGGAUCGAACAGGAUUAGAAACCCCAGUAGUCC